AGCCACCAAGCUCGGGUUCCAUCGGUAGUGACCCCCAAACCCUCUCUGCUUUGGAAAUUGGAAAAUUAUAGCUUUGGAUUUCUAAUAGCAUCCAUCUGAGAUGUGUUUGACUUUUUGAUAAUAUAUAUGUGAAAUGGGGAUUGAAUGAAUAGUUGCGUAAUUUUAAAGUUGAUUCUAAAUAGUAAUCUUAAUCAAAAUUAGAGAGCUGGGAAUUUAUGUUUAUAUAUUAUUUCAAAGUUGAAUCCAAAUUACUAGCAGUCGAUGUGAGAAACCUAGUGUAAGAACUCUCCAUAUUAUCAUGAUUUCAAUGCUUAGUUGCGUGCUUUAUUUGUUCUAAUUGAGAGGUGCACCGUCAAAACUCAGCCAAAGAGGUCAGGCCGGGAGGCGUGAGUCAGAAGCUUCGGUAGCGUGAGUCAGAAGCUUCGGUAGGACGACCAAAUGCCCCAAGGAGAAGACGUCUAGCGUAGAGGUCCCUAACUUUUAUGGAAGCUGAGACCCCUCCGUGGUGCAAGCAGUAGGAGAAGCACAGAUACUUAGGGAAGUGGAGCCAUUGUGAAGACUAGCGUAGAGGUCCCUAACUUUUAUGGAAGCUGAGACCCCUCCGUGGUUUUAGACAGGUUAGUCGCGAUGGACCAGUAUUUCGAACUAGAAGAGAUCUUACACUAUCCAUAUUAUCAUGAUUUCAAUGCUUAGUUGCGUGCUUUAUUUGUUCUAA
rnacentral:lncRNA from 1 species